ensembl:lncRNA
CUUUCUAUAAAGAAUAGAGCAGCUAUGGCAACAGCCAUUCCCAAACAUGCCACUGUGCUGCAAGAAUGUAAAAAAUCAGCAGCUACUAAACUGCUCAGAAAUCAAAUCCACGGGAAGAAAAUGUGCCAUGCAUGAGAAGACAAUCAGCAAGCAACAGAGACCAGCUCUAAGAAUCCCAUUUGGUCACCGACGUAGAACAGAUAUAUUGCUCCUCAAAAAUGGUCAAAUGACGUUGAAACACCCACAAGCCUUUCCAAUGCUGGGAGAACUUCCUUCUUUGGCAGGUGACAGGAGUUUCAACACAACAAAUAGAGAGGAUUACCCUUAUUACAAACCAGAUGGCACUCCAAUCGUGUGGCAGGGAAAAGCCCCCGCAAGAGAAAACAGGACUGGCCAAGCACAGAGAGGUUCUCUUUACCAGCAGGACUUCCCUGCUCCAAAGAAAAUCUACAUCAGGAGAAAUCAGGUUGUACCUCAUCCUGACAACCUGGCGAUCAACACUUCAAUGAGAGCUGAAUACAAAACAGUGCAGCAAGAGGCUUUCCCAGGCUGGGAUGUCUCUGUGCACACACGCCCAACGCCUGUCCGACUCAAAAGAACAGCUGCAGAUGACUGAUGAAGGCCAGAGAAAACCAUCAAAGUGCAUUUAUACACUGGAUGCAUAAAUAACACAAAAAGCUUCUUUAAACCACACAUUUAUGUUAGUCAGCUUUACUUUUGUGUCUUUCAACUGUACUACAUGUAGGGUGUCCAUACGGGCCAUUUUUAUGGGACGCACCCUUGCCAGGAUUUCAAUAUUGCCUAAAAUAUCCAGGUUUUGGCUGUUAGCACUAUGCAGAUUAAUUGAUCGUUGUAUGACAUUAUUUCACGAGAGCUACAGAGAGCAGAGCAGACGGCUCCUUAUGCUUUCAAAUCGCUGGUGUUGGUGUUAUUCAAUGAUCAGCAGCUUUAACCCUUAUGGGGUCUUCGGGGUCUUUCUGACCCGCAAAUGACAUUUGCUAAAAUUAAAAAUAGGUUUUUAUACAAAAACAGGUUUUUAUGUAAAAUGCACUUUAUAAAAGUCCCACAUUUCUAACUUUGAUUCAUGGGGAUAACAAGGAUAAUUUGACAUGGUUUAGUGUAAGAUUUUUGCCAAUCUUUAAGAAAAAAUGAUCACUUUUACUACUAGAUGGCUGCAGAGCUCCACUAUUUGCUACUUGCUAUUUGAUUAACUAAAAGUUAUCUUUUCUCAAGUUUUUUCAGUUGGAUUCAUACCUACAUAUUCUGAAAUCACAAUAAUAACAAUCAAAAUGAAUUCUUGUCAAAGUUUAGACCUUUUAACCAUUUUUUGUACUGAAAAAAAAAAUUAUUAAUAUCAAUAAUGUUAGAGUAUGAUUAUAGAAUCAAACCUGAACAAGAUGUUAAAGAGA